AGAUGAUGAUGAUGAUGAUGAUGAUGAUGACGAUGAUGCAAAAAUGAUGAGAAUUCUGGUCAAUAUGAAACAUCAUCAUCAUCAUCAUCAUCAUCCUCC
rnacentral:miRNA from 1 species